rnacentral:rRNA from 1 species
CAAAUUGUUUUUUGUUUUAGUAUUAGUAGUAUAGAAUAAAUGUUGUUAAAGUACUGUAAAGGUUAGAAAUUUGGUGAAAUAAUUAUUGUUUAGUAGAAGUUUAUUUUUGUACCUUUUGUAUAAUGGGUUAAUGAUUUUAUUUAUUUUAUGGUGAUAUCUCGAAGUGGAAGGAUUUACUUAGUAGGUUUAUGUUAACGUUGUAUAGUUAUAUAUUGAUUAUUAGGUGGUAGUGAUAUGUUUAUCGUUUUUCAUGAUAGCUAGUUUGUUGGUUUAAGGAUAUUUAAGUAUCAUGACGUUAAUAUAGACUAGAUAUGGUUUGUUUUGGUGUCAGUUUAUUGUAUAAGGGAUAAGCUUUAUAUAAUUGUUUAGAAUUUUGUAGAUAGAUUAAUGUGAUUUAAGUAGGAUUAAAAAUGUUUUUCUUUAAAAGUAGUUUAAAUUGGUUAAUGAUAGGUAAAAUUAGUUUCAGUUUAUAGCUAAUAAAUAUUUAUUAAUUAAUUAUAGAUAAAUAUAAUGUUAAUAUGAGUAUUAGUUUUUUGUUUAUGUUUAUUUAUUAUAUAGUUGUGAAUGGUAGGUAAAAUAAAUAAUGUAUGAAAGUAAGGUAAAGGAAUUCGGCAAAUAUUGAUCUCGCCUGUUUAUCAAAAACAUCUCUCUUUGUAAAUAAUAUAUAAAGAGUUGGGCCUGCUCGGUGAAUGGAUUAUUUUAACAGCUGCGGUAUUUUAACUGUACUAAGGUAGCAUAAUAAUUUGCCUUAUAAUUUGAGGCUGGAAUGAAUGGUUUGACGAAGGUUAAUCUGUCUCUAUUUUAUUUUUUAGAAUUUAAUUUUAUAGUGAAAAAGCUUUAAUUUUUUAAAGGGACGAGAAGACCCUAUUGAGCUUAUAAUUUUAUAGAUUACUAAAAUUGUUUAUUUUAAUAGUGGUAUAUAAAUUUUAGUUGGGGUGAUUAAGGAAUAAAGUUUUUGUUAGUAACUUCCUUAGAGUAAAGUAUUAUUUGAUGAAGUAACCAAUAUGAUAUUGCUUUUAUUAAAGUUACCAUAGGGAUAACAGCGUAAUUUGUUUAGAGAGUUCUUAUUGAAAAACGAGAUUGCGACCUCGAUGUUGGAUUAAAGUGACCUCAAGGUGAAGAAGCUUUGUUAGGUAAAUCUGUUCGAUUUUUAAAACUUUACAUGAUCUGAGUUCAGACCGGCGUGAGCCAGGUUGGUUUCUAUCUUUUAAAAUGUUUGUAGCUUCUUUUAGUACGAAAGGACCAAAGAAAGUUAAAGGUUAUUAUUAUAAUACA